CUGCUAGACAUUUUUUAUAUGCAGACCAUGAAGCUCUUUUCUCUUCCCAUCCACCUGGCAGGCCGUUUUUGCUUUUGAAAAAACAGUUGCAGAAUGUGGGCAGGAAACAGAUUCAGUUGCACUCCGCAACACCACCUCAGCUCAGAAGUUACUCACACCUUCUCCAGAAAACAGGCAAAACUGGGUGCCUGCAACCAUUGGAGAAAGCAGACAUGGUCCAUUCUUUUGCUCUUGACGACAGCAAACAAAAGCUGAGCUGAAACCAUUGCAGAUCCUAGAGAUGUGUUGCUCUUUGCUAGAUCUCUCCAAGCUCCUGAAUAACUGAACAUUAAUUGUGUCAGGAAAGGAGAAUCUAUUUAUGGCUGCCAACGCUGAAGAAGGGAUGCUCGGGAGCAUCUUCCCCAUCUUCAUUGCUGCGUUGCUCUUUGCCGUCACCGUGUGUUUCUUAGUUUUGUGUACUCUCUGCCAAAGGAAAAAUAGAAUCCCUGCGCCAGAUGGAGAAUUGCUAGCUGAAGCAACAGAGCUCUCGUCCCUCAGAGGGUCAGUCACAACUGUGCAGAAACUCGGCAGGACAAAUUCAAGAGCAAAGAACCUUAGUCCAGCCACGAUUACUAUCCCUUGCGAUGAUGACGGGACCAUCUCCAGUUGCAGCUUCAUCAUCCUUCCCCAGAGAGAGCUGCCGCAGCCUCCUUCAGCCGAUCCAGUGUCCCCGGAGCAGACCUAUUCCAACCUGACGUUCCUCAAGCGAUCCCAGGAAGUGUUGUAUGAAACGGUGGCAGUGAAAGGAGACGAAGAGAAAGAACCCGACCGAGUUGCAGAGGAGACAGUUGCUGGCAAGGACCCAGUGGACCACGAAACAGCAGAUGGGUACGCCAAGGUCCAGAAAGGGAAGAAGAAGAAGAAGACAUUCCCCGAACCGGAGACGAGGACCAAACCGACCAUACAGGAGUCAGACUCAACAGCCACGGCAUCGACCCCUACAACACUGAAGUUGGAGGAAAUGUAUGCAGUGGUGUGCAAGGACAAGAAGAAGAAGAAGGCCAAGAAUGGGGUCAUUCUUGGCAAAAACGGAGGACCCCAAGUGGAAAGGAGCCGGGGAUGUUGCCAGGCUGAGUCUGUUCCCCGGGCGUCCGAAGGGAUGGAAGGGCCCCAGUCCUCAUUGUUUCAGCCCCACUUCAUUGAACCUUGCUAUGCCUCCAUUAGCUGUGAACCCAGGGCUGAUUUUGGUGAGAAGGAAAUUGAAGAACCCGCCUAUGAGACUGUGGAAACGCACUGGAAAAAGCCGAGGAAAAAGGGAAAGCCAAAGAGCAAAGCCGCAGCUGCCACAGAAAACUUGUACGAAAGUAUCGAAAACUUGGCGUUUUAAUUCUAGAAUUGAAGAAGGACAUCUGACUUUGAAAUCUGGAUGGAUGUUUUCCACUAUCUCUUCAAUGGGAUAUUUCUUGAUUGGUGAAAUGAACUGCAUAAAUAUUAGAAGGUAGCAGUCCAAGACUUCUUCAUACUCACUAUCAAAGGCUACCCAAAGUUGAAUACUGACAACUAGCUGCUUUGUGUCUCAAUCAAGAUAAAAGCGGGAUGUAAAUAAAGAUUAUAAUAAUAUUGAUUGCCACAUUCAUAUCAUCAAUGAAUCUUUCUGCAUCAGGCCAGAAUAUUUUUUGCUCUCCAAAUUCACUAUCAAGGAGACUCUUUUGGAGUAAUUUUUGAGCUCUUUCCCAAACUCCGGUUUAUUCUGGUGCAACACUAGUCAUUCAUCUCUCAAACCAACCUAAGAAAAAUGUGCCAUACUUGAAACACAGAUUCCCCCCUUUGACCCACUUUACAUCUUGGUGUGGUUUGGGGGAGGAUGGACCACGGAUGAUGGGAACUGCAGUACCUUCACUCACUUCCAGAGAUCACUGUAACACCCACAAAUGACAGACCUGGAUCUAAUUUGGCACAUAGACUCUCCAUGAUGUACUUUACAUCCUGAUGAGGUUUGGAAGAGGAUGGACCAUGGAUGAUGGGAUUUGCAGUACCUUCACUCACUUCCAGAGACCACUGUAACACCCACAAAUGACAGACCUGGAUCAAAUUUGGCACAUAGACUCUCCAUGAUGUAUUUUACAUCCUGAUGAGGUUUGGAAGAGGAUGGACCACGGAUGAUGGGAUUUGCAGUACCUUCACUCACUUCCAGAGACCACUGUAACACCCACAAAUGACAGACCUGGAUCAAAUUUGGCACAUAGACUCUCCAUGAUGUAUUUUACAUCCUGAUGAGGUUUGGAAGAGGAUGGACCACGGAUGAUGGGAUUUGCAGUACCUUCACUCACUUCCAGAGAUCACUGUAACACCCACAAAUGACAGACUUGGAUCAAAUUUGGCACAUAGACUCUCCACUUUACUUCCUGAUGAGGUUUGGAAGAGGAUGGACCACAGAUGAUGGUAACUGCAGUACUUUCACUCACUUCCAGAAACCACUGUAACCUGCACGAAUGACGGACUUGGACCAAACUUGGCACGCAUGGUCGGAUAAAACCCUUGUGCCGGCUGGACUGCUGACCUGAAGGUUGGGUUGCUGACCUGAAGGUUGCCAGUUCGAAUCUUCAAGAUGGGUUGAGCUCCUGUCAGUCAGCUCUAGCUUGCAGGGACAUGAGAGAAGCCUCCAAGCAGGAUGAUAACACAUCUGGGCAUCCCCUGGGCAAUGUCUCUGUAGACAGCCAUUUCUCUCACACCGGAAGCAACUUCAAGUAUGUUCCCAAGUUGCUUCUGACACGAUAAAAAAGAAAAAAGAAAAAUGUGGAAUACUGACCCAAUGGACAAGGGUUCUGUUUAAUUCCAAUGCAAACCUUUUUUAAAAAAACGAACAAAGGCAUUCUUUAUUUCUUUUCUCCUACUUGCUUUCACUUUGCUUUUUUUAAAAAAAGAAACUUUAUAUGUCUCAUGAAACUAAAAUAGCUUUUCUGCAAAUACACAUGGUUUUGGCAAUAAACAUGAAAACAUGAACUGGUGAGUAAUUGGGAGGAAAAACUACCCAAGUGACAUUUUUAGCUCGAAAGAUGUUAGAGGCAUAAGUUUUUGUCAUCUGAAGGACCUUUCGUUCAGUGUAAUGUAGACCAGGCCUGGGCCAACUUGGGCCCUCCGGGUGUUUUGGACUUCAACUCCCAUCAUUCCUAACAGCCUCAGGCCCCUUCCUUUUCCCCCUCCUCCGCUUAAGCGGCGGAGGGGGAAAAGGAAAGGGCCUGAGGCUGUUAGGAAUGAUAAGACUUGGAGUCCAAACACCUGGAGGGCCCAAGUUGGCCCAUGCUUGAUGUAAACUCACACUGACCAUAUAAUACUGUUUCAAAUAUUGAAGUUGUAGUUUGGUGAGACUUGACCCUUUAGCACUUCUGCCUUGUGACCACAAGGAGGUGCUAUAACCUCUCAUGCUGGUUUAUAUUUGCAAGAAGACUCUUGGGGAAAUUCUGAUAAUCCUUGGGGUUGUUUGCAGAAUUAAUCCUUUUGUUAUGAUAAUUGCUCUAGAGACUUUUCUGAACGGUUGUAUCUCGGUGGACAAUUUGCAACAAGCCUGUGCAGUUGUAAAGUAGGUCCUCCACUUUUGCUGGUAUUAGGAGAGUAUGAAGUUGGCAAAAGUGGGGAAAAAAUGGAAAUAUUGUAUAUACUCGAGUAUAAGCCUAGUUUUUCAGCCCUUUUUUUAAGACUGAAAAAGCCCCCCUCGGCUUAUACUCGGGUGAGGGUCCUGGUUGGCUUAUAUUUGGAUCAGCUUAUAUUUGAGAAUAUAUGGUACAUUUAUCAUUUUUCUCUAUUAUUAUUGCUAUUAUUACAUUUAUUAUUUUUCUCUAUUAUUGUUGCUACCAUUACAUUUAUUUUACUCUAUUUUUAUUAUUAUUAAUACAUUUAUUAUUUCACUCUGAUCUUAUUAUUAUUAUAUUGCAUUUAUUAUUUUACUCUAGGGAGCCCCGGUGGCGAAGCGUGUUAAAGCGCUGAGCUGCUGAACUUGCAGACCGAAAGGUCGCAGGUUCAAAUCCCAGGAGCGGAAUGAGCGCCCGCUGUUAGCUCCAGCUUCUGCCAACCUAGCAGUUCAAAAACAUGCCAAUGUGAGUAGAUCAAUAGGUACCGCUCCGGCGGGAAGGUAACGGCGCUCCAUGCAGUCAUGCCGGCCACAUGACCUUGGAGGUGUCUACGGACAACGCCGGCUCUUCGGCUUAGAAAUGGAGAUGAGCACCAACCCCCAGAGUCAGACAUGACUGGACUUAACAUCAGGGGAAACCUUUACCUUUACCUUAUUUUACUCUAUUUAUUAUUAUUUGUAUUAUUUUCCUGUAUUAUUUAUUAUUAUUAUUAAUAUUAUUACAUGUAUUAUUUUGCUCUAUUAUUAUUAAAAGCACAUUUACAUUGAAGAAGAUGAGAAUAAUGAUUUGAUCAGAGUUGGACAGUCUUAUCUCAAAUUUGAGCUUUAUGUAAAUAUUCAAAAGCAUUGAACCUACUGAUGCCUCAAUUAACGUAAUUUUAUUGGUAUCUGUUUUUAUUUCUGAAAUUUACCACCCUCGGCUUAUACUGGAGUCAAUGUUUUCCCAGUUUUUUUGUGGUAAAAUUAGAUGCCUCGGCUUAUAUUCGGGUCCAAAGUCCUUCAUCUUUGCCUCCAAUAUCCUUCCCUCCAGUGAGCAGCCACUGGGCAUUAUUUCCUGGAGGAUGGACUGGUGGGAUCUUCUUGCGGUCCAAGGCACUCUCAGGAUUUUCCUCCAACACCAAAGUUCAAAUCGUCUAUCUUCCUUUGCUCAGCCUUCUUUAUGGUCCAGCUCUUACUUACUAUGGGGAGUACCAUUGCUUUAACUAUGCGGAUCUUCGUUGCCAAUGUGAUGUCUCUGCUCUUCACUAUUUUAUCAAGAUGGGCCAUUGCUCUUCUUCUCCCAAGAAGUAAACGUCUUCUGAUUUCCUGGCUGCUGUCUGUGUCUGCAGUAAUCUUUGAGCCUAGAAAUAGAAAGUCUGUCACUGCCUCCACGUUUUCUCCCUCUAUUUGCCAGUUAUCAAUCAGUCUGGUUGCCAUGAUCUUGGUUUUCUUGAUGUUUAACUGCAGCCUGGCGUUUGCACUUUCUUCUUUCACCUUUGUUGGAAGGCUCCUCAGCUCCUCCUCACUUUUAGUCAUCUAAGUGGUGUCGUCUGCAUAUCUAAGGUUGUUAAUGUUUCUUCCAGCAAUUUUAACUCCGUCCUUGGAUCCGUCAAGCCCCGCACGUCGCAUGAUGUGUUCUGCGUACAAGUUGAAUAGGUAUGGUGAGAGUAUACAACCCUGCCAUACUCCUUUCCCAAUCUUGAACCAGUCUGUUGUUCAAUGCUCUGUUCUUACUGUUUCUACUUGGUCAUGAUACAAUGGGCCUUUGGAAUCCAUUGGGAUUUGGUGCCAGGAACUCCAUGGAUGCCCCAAACAUGCAAAUGCUCCUCCCAUGAUGUACAACGGCAUAGUGAAAUGGUGUCCCUUAUAUAAAAUGUCAAUUCAAUUCAGGCCGGGCUGUGGCACAGGCUGGUUAGCAGCCAGCUGCAACAAAUCACUCUGACCAAGAGGUCAUGAGUUCGAGGCCAGCCCGUGCCUGCGUCUGUCUCUGUCUCUGUUCUAUG
rnacentral:lncRNA from 11 species